rnacentral:tRNA from 1 species
GGCAGAGUGCUCAAAUGGUAGAGUACCUGCUUACCAAGCACAAAGUCCUGAGUUCAAACCUCUGUCCUGCCA